rnacentral:misc_RNA from 1 species
GCAAACUUGGUCAUUUAGAGGAAGUAAAAGUCGUAACAAGGUUUCCGUAGGUGAACCUGCGGAAGGAUCAUUACUGAGAUUUUGGGUUUCUUCUUCGGAAGAGCCCGACCUCCCGACCCCUGCAUUGGAGUUUCAAGGAUGUGCCGGGCUUUCAAUGGCUCUGUGCGCUCCCUCCUCUGCAAAACUCAUGAAAACGCUUCGCAGCUUCUUGUGUUUUUACACACUAUAGCAGCAAGCACAUGAAUUUAAAAAAACAAAUCUUCAAAACUUUCAACAACGGAUCUCUUGGUUCUGGCAUCGAUGAAGAACGCAGC